rnacentral:sRNA from 12 species
AAGAGAGUCGAAGAAUCGAAAGAAGAAGAUGAAGCAGCAGGGUGCAUUUAAUGUUUACGGAAGGAUAAUAAACCACAGAGGAAUUAAAAGUUCCUUAUCCUCGAAAUGGCUUGAGAGGAGAUAGUAUUAGGAUAACAAUGCGUCGUGAAGCUUAAUAAGCGCUCAUCUGUAAUUCCCGGGAAUGAGUACAUUCCGUCGUGUACGGGGCGAAGAGGUGAUUCAAGAGAAUCAACGUACACCUACA